UCUUUUGUUUUUGUUUAAGAACAUGUUUGUCUACGUUUUGCCAAGUGCUGUUUGACUUUUACACUUGCGUUUUAGUAUUUUAUUGCGCUUGAAAGUGACAACAUUGUCAAAAAUUGAAUAAAAUGAAACCUGUUCGAAAAAUGGUCUCAAGUAAAUAUGAACAAUUCACAAUGUCAUCAUUAAGAAUCAAGAUGAGAACCUGAUAUCUAAUAGUAAAUAAAUGAAUUAGACAAAAGCAUGAUUGAGUUUCAAUGACAUUAGCAUCUUAUAAUUUGUUAUUAGGUCCUUGUGUUAUAUCAUAACAUAAUAUAUUUACCUCUAUGACACCGUUAUUUAUUAUGUAUACUUAUUUUUACAAUUUAGUCACAAUUUAGUAUAGCUAAUUAGCAGAGCUAAUAUCACAAGGGCAUUGAGUCUAUAGACUUUAUCAAAGCUAACAAACUUGAAAAUGCCAAAACUAUGACUGCGACCCAAUGAAAAGAAUUCGAAAAAAAAUGGUAUUUAUGAUUAUUACAUAACUGAUAAGCAUAUGAACAUACGAAUAUACGAACAUAUAAAGUAUGUUUGUUUCAACCGCACUUCAAAUAUUAAAAUCUUUGCUUAUGGACAUGAUCUUUGAAUAUCUCACUAUUUAGUAUAGCUAAUUAGCAGAGCUAAUAUCACAAGCGAAUUGAGUCUAUAGACUUUAUCAAAGCUAACAAACUUGAAAAUGCCAAAACUAUGACUGCGACCCAAUGAAAAGAAUUCGAAAAAAAAAAUGGUAUUUAUGAUUAUUACAUAACUGAUAAGCAUAUGAACAUACGAAUAUACGAACAUAUAAAGUAUGUUUGUUUCAACCGCACUUCAAAUAUUAAAAUCUUUACUUAUGGACAUGAUCUUUGAAUAUCUCACUAUUGUAGUAUUAUUUGUUGUAAAAAAUAUAGCUGGAUAGUACUGGUUAGUACCAUAUAAUGUUGUACAUUUGAUGCCUAUUUUUUUUUACUAUAUUGUUAUAAUUUUUUAGUAAAAAAAAGCAUUAAAAUAUACUUUUUUUGCAUUAAAA